CCUUUUUUGGCAAGGACCCGGGUGUUCUUGUUCAAAUCAAGAUAAAGAAUUAUGGGUUGUAGCAGUUGUUCAACCGUCAAGGAUGGAC
rnacentral:tRNA from 1 species